GAUGAAGAACGUAGCGAAAUGCGAUACGUAAUGUGAAUUGCAAAUUCAGUGAAUCAUCGAGUCUUUGAACGCACAUUGCGCCCCCUGGUAUUCCGGGGGGCAUGCCUGUCCGAGCGUCAUUGCUGCCCUCAAGCACGGCUUGUGUGUUGGGCCCCGUCCUCCGAUCCCGGGGGACGGGCCCGAAAGGCAGCGGCGGCACCGCGUCCGGUCCUCGAGCGUAUGGGGCUUUGUCACCCGCUCUGUAGGCCCGGCCGGCGCUUGCCGAUCAACCCAAAUUUUUAUCCAGGUUGACCUCGGAUCAGGUAGGGAUACCCGCUGAGCUUAAGCAUAUCAAUAAGCGGAGGA
rnacentral:misc_RNA from 1 species